UCGCAAUGCCAUCGAGCCGCAGAACUCAGCAGCCGACGGGUUCUCUGCGGCCCGGGAGGGGGAUGUGGGCCCUGCCUCCCCGCAAGCUAGGCCAGGAGGGCACCGGCCACGGAGUCUCACCUCCUUUUCCUCCAGCCUCCUCCCUCUCACCAAGUGACACCACUCCCUCUCAAACGGAAGGAAGAGGAAGAGGGCCGUGGGGAAUCUCUUGGGAUCUUAAGGGGGACUGUUACAUCUCCUGGCUCUGCUUUGCUCGUAACAGGCCGGCUGGAGGCCAGCGAGGCCGCCCAGCAUGAACAGGGAAAGGCUCAUGAGACUGUACUCUGAGGGUGGAAACCGGUCUGCACCGCCCCUGUAACUGCUCAGCCCAGUAUGGGACCUGCCUCACACUAGCUGAGGAUGAUGGACCCUGCCGUUGUGCACAAAGUCCACAGAGAGAACUUCCCGAAGUCAGCCUCCAGAAUGCAAUAGCGACUGCGCCCAGAAACAUCCUGCUAGCACGAAUGCCUUGCUAUGAAGUCACACAAAGAGCCAAGGGGUGUGGUUGGAGAGGCUUCGAAAACUCAGCAAAUAGCAAAACGGGGGCAGGAACAUAUAUCUUUUUAUCCAUCA